GGCGCGAAAAGGCGUCAGGCGUUCGACGGCUGCGGGCCGUCGGGAAUGGUUCGUUCGAUUCGUGCUGCGCUGC
rnacentral:tRNA from 1 species